rnacentral:rRNA from 1 species
AUUGAACGCUGGCGGCAGGCCUAACACAUGCAAGUCGAACGAGUGGCGGACGGGUGAGUAAUGUCUGGGAAACUGCCUGAUGGAGGGGGAUAACUACUGGAAACGGUCGCUAAUACCGCAUACCAUCGGAUGUGCCCAGAUGGGAUUAGCUAGUAGGUGGGGUAACGGCUCACCUAGGCGACGAUCCCUAGCUGGUCUGAGAGGAGUACCAGCCACACUGGAAUUGAGACACGGUCCAGACUCCGACGGGAGGCAGCAGUGGGGAAUAUUGCACAAUGGGCUCAAGCCUGAUGCAGCCAUGCCGCGUGUGUGAAGAAGGCCUUCGGGUUGUAAAGUACUUUCAGCGGGGAGGCGUUACCCGCAGAAGAAGCACCGGCUAACUCCGUGCCAGCAGCCGCGGUAAUUC